rnacentral:rRNA from 1 species
UGGAGAGUUUGAUCCUGGCUCAGGACGAACGCUGACGGCGUGGAUUAGGCAUGCAAGUCGAACGAGAAAUUUCCUGCUUGCAGGGAAGAGUACAGUGGCGAACGGGUGAGUAACGCGUAGGUAUCUACCUCGUAGACUGGGAUAGCCCCGGGAAACCGGGGGUAAUACCGGAUGUGUUUUUCGAAAUAAAGGUGGCCUCUGUUUACAAGCUACCGCUAUGGGAUGAGCCUGCGUCAUAUUAGCUUGUUGGUAGGGUAAUGGCCUACCAAGGCGAUGAUGUGUAGCCGACCUUAACGGGUGACCGGCCACACUGGGAUUGAGAUACGGCCCAGACUCCUACGGGA